rnacentral:misc_RNA from 1 species
GGAAGUAAAAGUCGUAACAAGAUUUCCGUAGGUGAACCUGCGGAAGGAUCAUUAUUGUAUAACCGAGGUGCGAGGGCUGUCGCUGACCCGAAAGGUCGUGCACGCCCGAGUGCCCUCACACACAUCCAUCUCACCCCUAUGUGCACCACCGCGUGGGUCCCCCUUUGGCUUGUUCGGAGGGGGGCUUACGUUUUCACACAAACUUUGUAUGCAGUGUAGAAUGUAUUUUUUGUUUUUGCGAUCACGCAAUCAAUACAACUUUCAACAACGGAUCUCUUGGUUUCC